GACGAACGCUGGCGGCGUGCUUAACACAUGCAAGUCGAACGGAAAGGCCCUUCGGGGUACUCGAGUGGCGAACGGGUGAGUAACACGUGGGUGAUCUGCCCUGCACUUUGGGAUAAGCCUGGGAAACUGGGUCUAAUACCGAAUAGGACCACGCGCUUCAUGGUGUUGGGUGGAAAGCUUUUGCGGUGUGGGAUGGGCCCGCGGCCUAUCAGCGUGUUGGUGGGGUAAUGGCCUACCAAGGCGACGACGGGUAGCCGGCCUGAGAGGGUGACCGGCCACACUGGGACUGAGAUACGGCCCAGACUCCUACGGGAGGCAGCAGUGGGGAAUAUUGCACAACGGGCGCAAGCCUGAUGCAGCGACGCCGCGUGAGGGAUGACGGCCUUCGGGUUGUAAACCUCUUUCAAUAGGGACGAAGCGCAAGUGACGGUACCUAGAGAAGAAGCACCGGCCAACUACGUG
rnacentral:rRNA from 1 species